UGGUAGAUGCACCCUGAUAACUAACUCCCCUGACUGGCUAACACCCGUUGGGGGAUUUUUUU
rnacentral:sRNA from 20 species